GACAUCCCGUUAUUAAUAUUAGCUGAUCCAGCAUAUCCCCUACUCAGUUGGAUACAGAAGCCAUAUUCAGACAAUGGUCACUUAACAGAUGCUCAGAGGCACUUUAAUUUUAAAUUAAGCCAAAGCAGGAUGGCAGUAGAGAUGGCUUUUGGAAGACUUAAAAGAAGGUGGAGAAGCCUUGCACACAGAUGCGAGCACACCAUCAAGGCAAUCUGUUGCGUGGUGUUAACUUGUGCUGUUUUGCACAAUUUCUGUGAACGAGCGGGCGAAACCAUACCUUUGGAAGACAACAUCACAGAAACGCAUCAACAGGACGUCGACGAAGUUGACCCAGAGGCUAGAGAGGAAGCACAGGCUAUCCGACUUGCACUGACACAACAUCUCGCGGGAGUUCGUUAGGGCCCUCAUAAGAUACAUCCUGCACUCCCUUUCCUGCCAUUCCUCUUCAUCUCUAAGUUGUUCCCUCCUCAUCAAUUCUUCGAACUCUUUUGAGGAAGCACUCAUGAACCUUUGGCCCCAUUCAUCCAUCAAGGACCGCAUUUGGUCCAAUUUUCUUUUCUUGGUUCGACCUAAGCAAAUCACAAUCAUAUUUAGAGAUUUACUUUAACUUAUAUUUGUUUAACUGUUUUAAGUUUAAAUGUGUAAAGAUGAUACACUGUGAUUUGACAAAUUUCAAUGGAAACCUGUUACAAAUACCUGUUAAUUUAAUUUUUAAGUGUUUUAAAUUCAAAGAGCAAAGCCUGAGAGCUGUUAUAUAACAUAUCAAUUGUUUAUGUGAAUAUUUAAAGACUAUGUAAAAACAAAAAUGGAUUUACCAGCAUGUCUAGCAGUUGGGUUACGGCUUCCUUGAUCCACAGUCUCUCCUACAAUGUAAAAUAAAAUGUAAAUUAAAGAAA